AGUGAACGCUGGCGGAAUGCUUUACACAUGCAAGUCGAACGGCAGCACGGGGGCAGCUCUGGUGGCGAGUGGCGAACGGGUGGGUAAUACAUCGGAACGUGCCCGGUCGCGGGGGAUAACGUAGUGAAAGUUACGCUAAUACCGCAUACGAUCUGAGGAUGAAAGCGGGGGACCUUGGGGCCUCGCGCGAUCGGAGCGGCGGAUGUCAGAUUAGGUAGUUGGUGGGGUAAAGGCCUACCAAGGCGACGAUCGGUAGCUGGUCUGAGAGGACGACCAGCCACACUGGGACUGAGACACGGUCCAGACUCCUACGGGAGGCAGCAGUGGGGAAUAUUGGACAAUGGGCGCAAGCCUGAUCCAGCCAUACCGCGUGGAGGACGAAGGCCUUCGGGUUGUAAAGUGCUUUUGUACGGAACGAAAAGGAUCUGGCUAAUACCUGGGGCUAAUGACGGUACCGUAAGAAUAAGCACCGGCUAACUUCGUG
rnacentral:rRNA from 1 species